rnacentral:lncRNA from 1 species
CCAAACUCUGUGCCAUGCUGUUUGGACUUUUACCUUUCAAAACUGUGAAUUUUGAAAGCUUUAAUAGAGUUUUUUUUGGAAGACUCUUUUUUUUAAUAACUCACCUGUGAGCACAAAUCUUAAGACAAGCCAGUGGGACUUAAUCCUGGAGUUGCUUCACUUGGAGAAUAAAACUGUCCACAGAAGGGAGAGCUUGAUAGCUAAUGAAGCCAACACAGAGGACAGCAGAGCCAAGAAUGGGGAGAGAGACUUGGCACUAUUUGAGCACCUGGAUUCAGCCAUACCUGAAGCCAACAUGUGACAAUCUCUUUUAAGAACCAAAGGAACCAAAGGAGGGAUUUAUGCUUUGUAGUGCCUCAAACCAUACUCUGAAAAUCCUUAACCUAAACAUCCCAAU